rnacentral:tRNA from 2 species
ACUGUGGCUCAGUAGGUAGAGCGUCGCCUUGGUAAGGCGGAGGUCACGGGUUCAAGUCCCGUCAGU